rnacentral:lncRNA from 1 species
GGAAGUCGGGGCGGGUGAGGUGGCCCAAGGAGAGAGAACCGGAAGCGGAGGGAUCGCUGUCGGCGAGCACGGAGGAGGAGGAGGAGGCGGCGGCGGAGGAGGAGAGUCGGCGGAAGGAAGCCCUAGAGGAAGAGGAGGAGGCGGCGGCGGAGGCGAGAGCGAGGGCGGAAUUAGGGCGGAACGGCCCGGGAGGAGCGAGCUUCAGAGCUGCUCCUUCCAUCGCCAUCGUCAUCCUCAUCGGUUCUCUCCCUCUCUCUCGCGAAACGCCACCGAGC